AUUCCAGUCAGCCACAACCUGGACACUCCCACCACAAGUGAGAUGAGUCCUCCUGCCAAGAGGAGACAUGUGCAGCCUGCAGUGGAGGUUCUCCAGUGAAUCCAAAAAGAAGGAACCUGUGAGCUGUCCUGCAGUCAUCAAAAGCUACAAUUCCAACAUGGGGGGGAUUGACAAGAGCGACAUGUUGGUGCACCUGUACCGCACCCCCAUGAAGUCCAAGAGGAAGAAGCUCUGACAGUCUGAGAGCUGCCUUUGAUGUUCCCAAGCCAGUCCGAGGACAUCGCUGCUCCAACCCCACUGAGGCUGUGCGUUUCGACCACUCCGUGUUCCACGUUCCUGUCUACACUCAUCGCCAAACAUGCAAGUA